rnacentral:lncRNA from 1 species
AUCCAUAAACUAUGAAAACCAGAUAAGACGAUAAGCCCCAUAUCAAUCCUAACCAAUAACCAUACCUCUAUUACUACUUGCCAACAAUUCUCUCCACCGUUCCUCCGCCACCGCCAUGGCAUCUCCGACCUUAAUCACCCCGACCACCUCCACCCCUAAGCUCCUCCCACCCAUUCGCUCCAAGCUCUCACCACCCUCCUCUUCCACCACCACCACCACCACCGCCACUACCCAUCGCCGAAACUUCUUGUCAUUGGCUGCCGUAAUAUCCAUCUCCUCCCCGCUACUUGUUAUUCCGGCUGCAUUGGCGGCUUCCGAUGAAGAAUAUACAAAAGAGACCCAGGAGGUUAUCCAGAAAGUCAGGAACACGAUCAACAUGGACAAAACUGAUCCCAACAUCGCAACUGCGGUGGCUGAG